CAGCCGCCACGGGAAUACGAAGGGUGCAAGCGUUACUCGGAAUUACUGGGCGUAAAGCGUGCGUAGGUGGUGGUUUAAGUCCGUUGUGAAAGCCCUGGGCUCAACCUGGGAAUUGCAGUGGAUACUGGGUCACUAGAGUGUGGUAGAGGAUAGUGGAAUUUCCGGUGUAGCAGUGAAAUGCGUAGAGAUCGGAAGGAACAUCUGUGGCGAAGGCGACUAUCUGGGCCAACACUGACACUGAGGCACGAAAGCGUGGGGAGCAAACAGGAUUAGAUACCCCCGAGUCCCUGUCUCUUAUACC
rnacentral:rRNA from 1 species